AGCUCCAGUAGCGUAUAUUAAAGUUGUUGCGGUUAAAAAGCUCGUAGUUGGAUCUCAGUCCAGUCUGCGCGGUCCGCUUGCCGGCGGUUACUGCACAGCUGGAUGGAUUACAGAUGCUGUCCCCUGAUGCUCUUUACCGGGUGUCAGGAGCGAUCUGUAUUUUUACCUUGAACAAACUAAAGUGCUUAAAGCAGGCGUAAAGCCCGAAUAAUCUUGCAUGGAAUAAUGGAAAAGGACCUCGGUUCUAUUUUGUUGGUCUUCGGAACCUGAGAUAAUGAUUGAAAGGGACAGCCGGUGUCAUUCGUAUUGCGGCGCUAGAGGUGAAAUUCUUGGACCGUCGCAAGACGAACAACAGCGAAAGCAUUUGACAAGAAUGUUUUCA
rnacentral:rRNA from 1 species